GAUGAACGCUGGCGGCGUGCUUAACACAUGCAAGUCGAACGAAACACCUUAGUUGAUUUUCUUCGGGACUGAAUAUCUGGUGAUUGAGUGACGGACGGGUGAGUAACGCGGGGGUAACCUGCCCUGUACAGAGGGGUUACCUAAAGAAAUGUCUGCUUAUACCGCAUAAGACCACAGCUCCGCAUGGUGCAGUGGUCAAAACUCCGGUGGUCCAGGAUGGACCCGCGUCUGAUUAGAUGGAUGGUGAGGUCACGGCUCACCAAGGCGACGAUCAGUAGCCGGCUUGAGAGAGUGAACCGCCACAUUGGGACUGGGACACGGCCCAAACUCCCACGGGAAGCAGCAGUGGGGAAUAUUGCACAAUGGGGGAAACCCUGAUGCAGCGACGUCGCGUGGGUGAAGAAGUACUUCGGUAUGUAAAGCUCUAUCAGAAGGGAAGAAAAUGACGGUACCUGACUAAGAAGCCACGGCUAACUACGUG
rnacentral:rRNA from 1 species